AUUGAACGCUGGCGGCAGGCCUUACACAUGCAAGUCGAGCGAGCGGCGGACGGGUGAGUAAUGUAUGGGGACUGCCCGAUAGAGGGGGAUAACUACUGGAAACGGUGGCUAAUACCGCAUACUAUCGGAUGACCCAUAUGGGAUUAGCUAGUAGGUGGGGUAAAGGCUCACCUAGGCGACGAUCCCUAGCUGGUUUGAGAGGAGGACCAGCCACACUGGGACUGAGACACGGCCCAGACUCCUACGGAGGCAGCAGUGGGGAAUAUUGGACAAUGGGGGAAAGCCUGAUGCAGCCAUGCCGCGUGUAUGAAGAAGGCCUUAGGGUUGUAAAGUACUUUCAGCGGGGAGGCGGUAUCCGCAGAAGAAGCACCGGCUAACUCCGUGCCAGCAGCCGCGGUAAUUC
rnacentral:rRNA from 1 species